GUGCUCACUUAGCAGCACAGAUACUAAAAUUGGAACUGUAAAGAAGAUUAGCAUGGUCCUGCAUGAGGAUAACCUAGAAAUUUGUGAAGCAUUCCAUCAAGAA